rnacentral:rRNA from 1 species
ACGGAGGGUCCGAGCGUUAAUCGGAAUUACUGGGCGUAAAGCGCGCGUAGGUGGUUAUUUAAGUCAGUUGUGAAAGCCCAGGGCUCAACCUUGGAACUGCAAUUGAUACUGGGUAACUAGAGUACAGUAGAGGAGUGUGGAAUUUCAGGUGUAGCGGUGAAAUGCGUAGAGAUCUGAAGGAACAUCAGUGGCGAAGGCGACACUCUGGACUGAUACUGACACUGAGGUGCGAAAGCGUGGGUAGCAAACAGG